rnacentral:rRNA from 1 species
AGAGUUUGAUCAUGGCUCAGAUUGAACGCUGGCGGCAGGCUUAACACAUGCAAGUCGAACGAUGAUUAUCUAGCUUGCUAGAUAUGAUUAGUGGCGGACGGGUGAGUAACAUUUAGGAAUCUGCCUAGUAGUGGGGGAUAGCUCGGGGAAACUCGAAUUAAUACCGCAUACGACCUACGGGUGAAAGGGGGCGCAAGCUCUUGCUAUUAGAUGAGCCUAAAUCAGAUUAGCUAGUUGGUGGGGUAAAGGCCCACCAAGGCGACGAUCUGUAACUGGUCUGAGAGGAUGAUCAGUCACACCGGAACUGAGACACGGUCCGGACUCCUACGGGAGGCAGCAGUGGGGAAUAUUGGACAAUGGGGGCAACCCUGAUCCAGCCAUGCCGCGUGUGUGAAGAAGGCCUUUUGGUUGUAAAGCACUUUAAGCAGGGAGGAGAGGCUAAUGGUUAAUACCCAUUAGAUUAGACGUUACCUGCAGAAUAAGCACCGGCUAACUCUGUGCCAGCAGCCGCGGUAAUACAGAGGGUGCGAGCGUUAAUCGGAAUUACUGGGCGUAAAGCGAGUGUAGGUGGCUCAUUAAGUCACAUGUGAAAUCCCCGGGCUUAACCUGGGAACUGCAUGUGAUACUGGUGGUGCUAGAAUAUGUGAGAGGGAAGUAGAAUUCCAGGUGUAGCGGUGAAAUGCGUAGAGAUCUGGAGGAAUACCGAUGGCGAAGGCAGCUUCCUGGCAUAAUAUUGACACUGAGAUUCGAAAGCGUGGGUAGCAAACAGGAUUAGAUACCCUGGUAGUCCACGCCGUAAACGAUGUCUACUAGCCGUUGGGGUCCUUGAGACUUUAGUGGCGCAGUUAACGCGAUAAGUAGACCGCCUGGGGAGUACGGCCGCAAGGUUAAAACUCAAAUGAAUUGACGGGGGCCCGCACAAGCGGUGGAGCAUGUGGUUUAAUUCGAUGCAACGCGAAGAACCUUACCUGGUCUUGACAUAGUGAGAAUCCUGCAGAGAUGCGGGAGUGCCUUCGGGAAUUCACAUACAGGUGCUGCAUGGCUGUCGUCAGCUCGUGUCGUGAGAUGUUGGGUUAAGUCCCGCAACGAGCGCAACCCUUUUCCUUAUUUGCCAGCGGGUUAAGCCGGGAACUUUAAGGAUACUGCCAGUGACAAACUGGAGGAAGGCGGGGACGACGUCAAGUCAUCAUGGCCCUUACGACCAGGGCUACACACGUGCUACAAUGGUAGGUACAGAGGGUUGCUACACAGCGAUGUGAUGCUAAUCUCAAAAAGCCUAUCGUAGUCCGGAUUGGAGUCUGCAACUCGACUCCAUGAAGUCGGAAUCGCUAGUAAUCGCAGAUCAGAAUGCUGCGGUGAAUACGUUCCCGGGCCUUGUACACACCGCCCGUCACACCAUGGGAGUCUAUUGCACCAGAAGUAGGUAGCCUAACGAAAGAGGGCGCUUACCACGGUGUGGUCGAUGACUGGGGUGAAGUCGUAACAAGGUAGCCGUAGGGGAACCUGCGGCUGGAUCACCU